UGCCAAGUCGAACGAUGAAGCCCAGCUUGCUGGGAUGGAUUAGUGGCGAACGGGUGAGUAACACGUGAGUAACCUGCCCUUGACUCUGGGAUAAGCGCUGGAAACGGCGUCUAAUACCGGAUACGACCUGCCCCGGCAUCGGGUGUGGGUGGAAAGUUUUUCGGUCAAGGAUGGACUCGCGGCCUAUCAGCUUGUUGGUGAGGUAAUGGCUCACCAAGGCGACGACGGGUAGCCGGCCUGAGAGGGUGACCGGCUACACUGGGACUGAGACACGGCCCAGACUACAUACGGGAGGCAGCAGUGGGGAAUAUUGCACAAUGGGCGCAAGCCUGAUGCAGCAACGCCGCGUGGGGGAUGACGGCCUUCGGGUUGUAAACCUCUUUUAGUAGGGAAGAAGGGCUUCGGCUUGACGGUACCUGCAGAAAAAGCACCGGCUAACUACGUGCCAGCAGCCGCGGUAAUACGUAGGGUGCAAGCGUUGUCCGGAAUUAUUGGGCGUAAAGAGCUCGUAGGCGGUUUGUCGCGUCUGCUGUGAAAACCCGAGGCUCAACCUCGGGCCUGCAGUGGGUACGGGCAGACUAGAGUGCGGUAGGGGAGAAUGGAAUUCCUGGUGUAGCGGUGGAAUGCGCAGAUAUCAGGAGGAACACCGAUGGCGAAGGCAGUUCUCUGGGCCGUAACUGACGCUGAGGAGCGAAAGCGUGGGGAGCGAACAGGAUUAGAUACCCUGGUAGUCCAACGCCGUAACGUUGGGCGCUAGAUGUGGGGACCUUUCCACGGUUCCGUGUCGCAGCUAACGCAUUAAGCGCCCCGCCUGGGAGUACGGCCGCAAGGCUAAAACUCAAGGAAUUGACGGGGCCGCACAAGCGGCGGAGCAUGCGGAUUAAUUCGAUGCAACGCGAAGAACCUUACCAAGGCUUGACAUAUACGGAAACUUCCAGAAAUGGUUGCCCCGCAAGGCGGUAUACAGUGGUGCAUGGUUGUCGUCAGCUCGUGUCGU
rnacentral:rRNA from 1 species